CUGUUACUAGAUACGUUUUCCCUUUCUUGACCUGCGUCGGGCGACAAGCUGUAGAUGCUCUGUAGACGAGCCUUAUUUGUCCUGUAGCAUCUCCCACUGUAGCGAUGUGUGCGGGAUCUUCAGGUUUGCUGUCAAGGUCGACUCCCUCAAGUGAGAUGACCUCUACUAAGAGGUUUUCCACCUCCGUGCCCAAGACCAGGCGAUCGAUCUGGAUCAUUUCAUUAUAUUCCAGCACACCGAUUAUUCUUCAAUUCAGUGC
rnacentral:lncRNA from 1 species